rnacentral:lncRNA from 10 species
CUCUUGUUGCCUUCAUAUUUUUGUGUUUCUAGCUUUGUUUCUUUGGUGAUAAUGAAUUGUGAGUUCAUAUUUUGUUUAUCUAAAUCUGGGAGGAAACCCUAGAGCUUACAUUGGGGAUGGUUUCCUCCAAAUAGAAUUCGCAUUUUCUUUUGCUGCAGGCCAGAGAGCCACUCACCUAGGGCCACUUUAACCCUCUUUGUUCCUAUCUCCUCUCAUCAGGUCUCAGGCCAAGGUCCCCAUUCCAGCCCUUUGCUACUGGCCCAUGGAUCAAUCUCGACUGCAAGACAGCAGGAGGUCUUGCCUUGUCUUCUGGUCAGCUUAAUACCUCUGAGUACUUCUAAUGGCGUGAAUCCCAGAAUCACUAGUAGCAAUGGAAUUAAGUUCAACUAGGGAGAAGAUGUGUAUGAGAAGACAGCUGAGGCCCACCAAUAUCUCUGGAGGCUGAGAAGGGGGAGAACUUGGCAAGUGUGGUGUUUUCAAAUCCAUAGGAGGGGAGAGCUUCAAAAAGGCUUAUGUAGUAGGCAGCUUCUGAACUGGCUCCAAAAAAUCUCCACCUCCUGGUAUUCACAUCCUCAUGUAAUCCCCUCCCAUCGAACAUGGGAUGGACCCAGUCACUUGAUUCUAACAAAUAGAAUAUGGUAAAUUGAUUUCCUAGCUUAGGUUACAAAAGAGUGUGAAUUCUGUCUUGUCCAGACUUUCUUUUUCUGGCUCAUCUUACUGGCUUGCUGUGAUGAAGCAAGCUGCCAUGUUGUGAGUUGUCUGAUGGAGAGACCCACAUGACAAUAGACUGAGGGUGGCUGCUAGCCUACAACAAGCAAUGAACUGAGGUCUUUGGUCCAACAACACUUGAGGGACUGAAUCCUGUCAACAAUAAUGUGAGUAAGCAUGGAACUGGAGCCUUCCUUUGUCAAGCUUUCAGAUGAGACCACAGCCCCAGCCAACACCUUGAUUGUAGCAAGCCAUGCAAUCUGCAUGCCAUAGUUUCAACCUACAGAAACUAUGAGGUAAUAAUGUUGUUGUUAUAAGUCAUUACAUUUUGGGGUAAUUUGUUGUGCCUCCAUCAAUAACAAAUACAGAUUUUGGUAACUGGAAAUAGGAGGCUGCUGCUAACUAACACCUAAAAGUGUGGGAGCAGCUUUGGAACCCUUGGUGUGCACAGACUGGGAAGAUUUAGAGGAG